GAGACAAGGUUUCACUUCUUAGAUUUAGGUUAGGUCAAGAGAGAUGAAUGAGAAUCGUGGGCUGAAUCCCGUAAAUAAACUUGAAGAAUGAAUAUGAUUUUAUUGAUGAGUUGAAAGAUGAUGAAUACAAAGGAAUGUAUCUUGAGAUGAUUACUAAAGAAUACGUAAUGCUUUUAAUCUAGUACAAAAGUUGAUAUAUGGAAAAGAGAUGGCUUGUCUUUUAUCUUCUCCGUCUUUAUAUAGUCUAGGUUUCGUUGGCAACCCUUCAACUGUUCUCCGAGAUAUUCAGCUUCAAUUACGGAACUCGCUUUAGGCUCCUCUUGACCGAGUCUCUUAAGGUGUUAGCUCACUUUCUGUCGUGACCUCUGCUAUGAUGUCUCCCAGGUCCAGUCGUCAGCUCGGCUUUCAGCUCCCUUUGUUAUGAUGGGCUUAUCGCAACCCACAUGCUAGCUCACGCUUAUCGGUACCUCACCUGAGGGUCAUAUUCGGGUCCAACAGUUGCCCCCAGCUUCCGAAUAAAAUCCUUUGUCUCGGAAGCUAGAAUCUAGCUAUCGAUCUUAUCUUUUCGUUAAGAUAAUGAUUAGUUCUUAUCCUAUUUAGAUUCAGCUUACUCGAUCUAACGGUCUUUAUUACGUUUGGCAGAAUCUACGGUUCAGAUGGAGAGGGUUUGAAAUGACUUUUCCGAAUCUCGAGAGGUGAUGGGAUAUAAAGCGGUGAACAUUAACUGCUAGCCUCCCACUUUCUCCACGCCUCCGUUCGGUUUUCAAGGUAACUUCUCUCCUCUCUCUUUAUUUUACUGCAAUUUUUUUUUAUCUUCCUCGUUACUUUUCUCUGCAAAUUCUCUCCCAAACCUUGCAAUCGAUUUUCUCCUUAACCUUCCCAUACUAUGGAUCAUCCGAAAGAAGGUUCCGGGGAAUCCGGGAUGCCUCCCUCUGCUUCUGGAGCUAAACUACUGAAAGUUAAGCAAGAAGUCGGAGCCAAGAUGAGGAAGGGGAAAAAGACAGCCAGGGAGGCAAUCGCGACCAGAGUUUCUAAACGGAAGAAGAAAGACGAUUCUAGCGGGAGCAGUCCUCACUCGCCUUCGUUGCUGAAAAAUCAAGACGUGGUUAACCUCAUGGUUCAAGCUCUCGGCCAAAAGGACCUUGGCCGUGCCUGUAAUUCCGACGAAACCCCCGAGACCGCUCCGGAGGGUUGGUUCUGUUGCCAUGAGAAGUACAUCUCCAAGUCUCACUUGAGAUUUCCUCUUCCGACCCUACUGCUUGAUCUACUAGAUCAUUAUCAGUUAGCCCUUUCCCAACUCUGUCCCUCGGUUAUCCGGGUGAUAAACGGCUUUAUCACUAGGUCCAAAGAGGAGGGGGUUAGCGUCGGUCUUACCGAACUUAUGAGCCUCUUUUCCCUGAAGGAAAGCGCCUCUAAGGAGGGUGGUACCGGGACCUACUACCUCCCUAGUCGUCCCAAUCAUGUUAUCUUCAGAUUCUCUAGUAGUGAUGAUGACUGGAGGAAGAAGUAUUUUCACGUUAAAGUUGAUCCUUCGACGGUUCCUGUGGGUCGGAACCUUAGGGUCACUUGGACUAAUCCAUCUGGUUAGGAAUUCUAGGGAUAUGCUUUUUCCGUUUUAUUCAUUUAUGGCCGAGUAACCUUUUUGCUCUGAUUUACUUGCAGAAAUCGAAGAUCCUCCGAAGCUCUCUACCAAGCUCACCAGAGCUCUAUACCGCAAGUUGCAGCAGAGUCCCUGUACCUGGGUAGCCUACACCACUUCUCGAAUAAGUGCAGCCAGAUUCCCAGAUACCUACAACGCCUCUUUCCAAGAUCCCAUUCCUGCUGAGAACCUUGAGAGUAAGUUCUUGUUCGAACCUUUUUAAUGAUUUUAUCGCUUUGAAGUUUUUAAACUUAAGGAUUUCCAUUGUUCCAGUUUUGGCAGGCGAUUCAGUUGUAUCGAUCUCAACUGGUGCUAGUGCUUCGGGAACUGAAAAGUCUCAGCCAGGUGACAUGACUCUGCGACCAUCAUUCCGUUCUAGGGGUAACCCCUCUAAAGCUGCCAGUGCUUCUCGUGGAAGCGACAGGAACCAAGGAGGAUCGUUCCUUAUCUCAAUGAAGGAAGUUUUGGACGACGGAGGAUCCAAACCUGUUGUCGAGACUACUCCAACUGAGGUUGUAGCUCAGGAUGCUGCUCCUCUCCCUGAGGUCCAGGUGCCGGAGGCUGACUACCAGGCUCCGAAGGGUACCUCUGAGGUCGAGCCGUCGAGACACAAGAGGCCCAGGACCGAUCAGGGCGGAGCUCCCACCCGUUCUUCUUCCUCGUCCUCUAGAGGAGGGACUGUUGGGUGGAGCUUUACCCAUUCGAAGCCUGGGUCGAUCCUGGACGACUCUUGGGGCCUAGCUGCGAUAAUGAGGCACCUGAAGAGCGUGGGAUGUCCCCUUCCAGCGCUCAAGGACCUGACUAACCGAGAUGAGUAUCUCGAUAUUGCUCACUGUAUGGGUCAGUUGGCUGGGGCUGUUAACAGGGCCCAGCUCAGGUUUGAGAAUGCUCUGUAUGCUGCCCCCAAUGCUGGUGAACUUGCUGAGGUUACCGAGAUGGUUAAGGCAGCCAAAGCCGAUCUUGACCAAGCCCGGGUUUGAAUUUCUGAACUCGAAGCCGAAGUGACGAGGCUAUUAUUUCUGUUUUAAGUUUUUGAACUUAACCUCGUUUCAUUUAAUCAUAGUGAUUGUGAAUCUCAGAUGAGUUGUGUGAUGUCAUCGUUGAGUCGGAUUAGGACCUUUAGUCUUAAUUUAUGAUAAGCAUUUAGCUUAAUGGAUAUUCGGUCGUGAUAACCUUAAAGAGAAGUUCUUGAUUUUAGCUCGGGGACCUGAGUCCGAUUCGAAAGGUUCUGGGACCUGGUUGUUCAGGUUCGUAGGAACCUGGAUUUAGAUUUAUAGGGACCUGAGUUAAUUCGAAGGACUUCGAGGCCUUUGAAGUUUAACGGAUGGAAUUGAGGAAUUUCGGGAUUUUCCUGAUUCUUUAGGAUUUUAAGACCUUUCGA